UUCCUACGGGGGGCUGCAGUGGGGAAUAUUGGACAAUGGGCGAAAGCCUGAUCCAGCCAUGCCGCGUGUGUGAAGAAGGCCUUUUGGUUGUAAAGCACUUUAAGCGAGGAGGAGGAGCUUCAGGUUAAUACCCUGGAUGCUUGGACGUUACUCGCAGAAUAAGCACCGGCUAACUCUGUGCCAGCAGCCGCGGUAAUACAGAGGGUGCAAGCGUUAAUCGGAUUUACUGGGCGUAAAGCGUGCGUAGGCGGCUAAUUAAGUCAAAUGUGAAAUCCCCGAGCUUAACUUGGGAAUUGCAUUCGAUACUGGUUAGCUAGAGUAUGGGAGAGGAUGGUAGAAUUCCAGGUGUAGCGGUGAAAUGCGUAGAGAUCUGGAGGAAUACCGAUGGCGAAGGCAGCCAUCUGGCCUAAUACUGACGCUGAGGUACGAAAGCAUGGGGAGCAAACAGGAUUAGAUACCCUGGUAGUCC
rnacentral:rRNA from 1 species